rnacentral:rRNA from 1 species
CUACGGGUUGCACCAGUGAGGAAUAUUGCACAAUGGGGGGAACCCUGAUGCAGCAACGCCGCGUGGAGGAUGACGCAUUUCGGUGUGUAAACUCCUUUUAUAUGUCAAGAAAAUGACGGUAGAAUAUGAAUAAGCACCGGCUAACUCCGUGCCAGCAGCCGCGGUAAUACGGAGGGUGCAAGCGUUACUCGGAAUCACUGGGCGUAAAGGACGCGUAGGCGGGUUGGAAAGUCAGGUGUGAAAUCCUACAGCUUGACUGUAGAACUGCACUUGAAACUUCUAAUCUAGAGUAUGGGAGGGGGAGAUGGAAUUAGUGGUGUAGGGGUAAAAUCCGUAGAUAUCACUAGGAAUACCUAAAGCGAAGGCGAUCUCCUGGAACAUUACUGACGCUAAGGCGUGAAAGCGUGGGGAGCAAACAGGAUUAGAUACCCCAGUAGUC